rfam:Aedes aegypti strain Liverpool supercont1.1010 genomic scaffold, whole genome shotgun sequence.
CUACCGGCGUCGUGAGGCGGCGGGAUGCGUGAUCAGAAGUCAGCAGAGGGCAUAGUAGUUGGUGGCGAAGGUGGUGAGCCGAUGAGAACCCGCCAGCGAAGGCC